rnacentral:rRNA from 1 species
AUGCGUGCAGUAUUGCUAUGGACUAUUCACGACCUUCCAGCACUAGCUUCAGUAUUUGGGUAUUCUACAAUGGGCUACAAGGCAUGCCCUGUUUGCCUAGAUGGAACCUAUUCGCAACCACUUCGAAGCAAAAUUGGUUUCUUAGGUCAUAGGAGGUACUUGCCUAUUCACCAUAGGUGGCGCAAAAGUAAGGCCUUCAAUGGUAAGAAUGAGAAAGCGUUGCCACCAAAACAACUAUCUGGGAAAGGCAUUUUUGAAUUGCUGCAGAAGUUAGAUAAUCUCCAGGGCUUCAAAUACGGAAAACAUCCUGGAAAUAAGAAAAGGAAGGCAUCUUCAAAGGACAUGCCAGGGAAAAAUUUCACAAAGAUGAGCAUCUUGUUUGAGCUACCAUAUUGGAAUGAUCUGAAAUUGCCACACAAUCUUGAUGUCAUGCACAUUGAAAAGAACAUUUGUGAGAGCUUAUUUGGGACUUUAUUAAACAUAGAUGGCAAGUCCAAGGACACACUUAAGGCCCGCAAGGACUUAGAAGGCAUGAAUAUCAGAGCAGAUCUACACUUGAAUGAUACGGGAAGUAGCAUAGAAAAGCAUCAUGCAUGGUACACAUUAACCAGAGAUGAGAAACUUGAGUUUCUGCAAUUUCUAGAAUCUAUUUGCUUCCCAGAUGGAUUUGCUGCAAAUAUAUCAAAAGGUAUAAGUAAAGAUGGGAAAAUAACUGGGCUGAAGACACACGACUACCAUAUUCUUCUUUAG